CAGCAGCCGGGUAAUACGGAGGGUGCGAGCGUUAAUCGGAAUUACUGGGCGUAAAGAGUGCGUAGGUGGUUAAUUAAGUUAUCUGUGAAAUUCCUGGGCUUAACCUGGGCAGGUCAGAUAAUACUGGUUAACUCGAGUAUGGGAGAGGGUAGUGGAAUUUCCGGUGCAGCGGUGAAAUGCGUAGAGAUCGGAAGGAACACCAGUGGCGAAGGCGGCUACCUGGCCUAAUACUGACACUGAGGCACGAAAGCGUGGGGAGCGAACAGGAUUAGAUACCCGGGUAGUCCCUGUCUCUUAUACA
rnacentral:rRNA from 1 species